UUUAGAAGUUAAAAAGACUUACAAAAUCAUUUUAAAUUUUCCUUAACCACCAUACGAUUCAUUAUCGUUACGAAUCGAAAUCAGUACAUGCGUGGAAAAUAUGAGCUUGGUAUUAAUUUACAAUUUUUAUUUUAUUUUAUUCUAGGCCCUUUUAAUAAUAAUAAUAAUAAUAAUAAUAAAUCUAUAUACAUACACACGAAGAGACACUGCUGCUCUCAUCCGUCUCUGGUCGGUCUCUCUCUUGUACUCUGAAGUCCAGGCCAUCACCUUGGAUCAAAUUCUCUCUCUCAGAGUCCUUGAAUUUCGAACUUCCAGGGAUCAAUCUGGCCCUUGAAUUACAUGAUUUUGAGAUAAACAAGAAGCAAACAAGCUGGGUCAGUGACUUGCUUACUUGGAACAAUUCUCUUCUUUGCUUUGCUUUACACAGUUUCAGGAAGAAUCUCAUGUUCUGAUAUGUAAUUUGAGGGAUAUUAGGCCAAAUUUACAGAUAUGGGAGCCUCAAACUCUAAAAUAGAAGAGGAUAAGGCCCUGCAGCUAUGUCGAGAACGGAAGAAGUUUGUUAAACUGGCACUUGACGGCAGGUGCUCGCUAGCAGCGGCUCAUUUUAUGUAUAUUCAAUCGCUAAAGAAUACUGGAACAGCUCUUAGGAUAUUUGUCGAUCUUGGGGCUCCUGUUGAGUCUUCCUUGUACACUUCCACUAGUGCAACCCCAGAGCUUCUUGUUCAAACUGGCAAGAGUCUUUCUCAAUUCUCUUUUUCCUCUCCAUCUGUAUCACACGCAUGGAUGCAGCUGAAACGUUCUCACCAUCUCCAUCUCCUCCAAAUUCUACUCGAUUUCAGGCAAAUCAUAUGAAAUUCAGGGGCGGCUUUUCUAAAACAGUUGAAGAAAAGCCUCCUAUUCCUCUUACUGCAACACUAACCUCCUCGAGCACCCCACAAAAUACCACACCUCGAUCUGCUGGAAAACCUGAAACAUCACCAUUUGAAGCUUCGUCACUCCCACCACAAAUAUCACUAUUUGAAGCUUCGUCACUCCCACCACAAACUCCACCAUGGGAUUACUUUGAUUUUUUUAAUCCAAUUGACCAUCAAUUUUCUUUCCAAGAAGGGAAGGGAAUGAACCAGGGGUUUGAAAAUAACGAUGAUAUGAGACAGCUUAGGGAAGAGGAGGGAAUUCCUGAUCUGGAAGAUGAAGAAGAGAAGGCUUCUUUUCAUGGAAGGGAAGAAUCUCAGGAUUCUGAAGAUGAAUUCGAUGAGCCUGCUACAGAUACCCUGGUUCGAAGUUUUGAAAAUCUUAAUAGAGUACAGGAUCAUGUUGAAGCUAGUGCUUCACCUACAAUGCCUUCUGCAGGAAGUGUAACUUCUGAAACUGAGUUAUUGAAUGGGAAGAAAAGUAACACUCCAGAUUUGUCACCAUUGAGAUCCACAUCCUCACCAGUUGCAGUUGAAACUGACUCAAUUAAAACAACAGUUAAAGAAGAUUUUGAAAGUAAGGUUGCCCCAAAAGAUUUUUUUUCAAGCAUGAAGGAUAUUGAAAUUCUCUUUAUAAGAGCUUUCGAGGCUGGCAAAGAAAUUCCUAGAAUGCUUGAAGCAAAUAAGUUUCAUUUUCGUCCAAUAUUCCAGGAAAAAGAAAGUGGAUCAAUUUCAUCUAAAUUCUUGAAGGGUUGUUUCUCUUGCGGUGAAGACCCAAGUCAAGUUCAGGAAGAGCCUCCUGAAACUGCUGUGAAGUACUUAACUUGGCAUAGGACGACAUCAUCUCGAUCCUCUUCAUCGAGGAAUCCUUUGGGAGCAAACUUAAAAGAUGAUACUGAUGAUCAUACUGGUAACCUCUUUGACAACUUCUGCAUGAAUUCAGGCAGUCAUGCCUCAACCUUGGAUAGGUUAUAUGCGUGGGAGAGGAAGCUUUAUGAUGAAGUCAAGGCCAGUGAGAUGGUUAGAAGGGAUUAUGACUUGAAGUGUAAGAUUCUAAGGGAACUAGAAUCAAAAGGAGAAAGUUCUCAAAAAAUUGAUAAAACUCGUGCUGUUGUCAAGGAUCUACAUUCUAGAAUCAGAGUGGCUAUUCACAGAAUUGACUCAAUAUCGAAGAGGAUUGAGGAGUUACGAGACAAAGAGCUCCAGCCUCAACUCGAAGAGUUGAUUGAAGGGUUAAGGCGGAUGUGGGAGGUGAUGCUUGAAUGUCACAAGCUUCAGUUUCACAUAAUCUCAAUAGCUUACAACAACAGCAACACCAAAAUCUCUGUACAGUCAGAAUCACGUCGUCAGAUUACUAUCCAUCUUAAAGACGAGCUCAGCUCUCUAUCAUCAAGUUUUACAAAGUGGAUUGGUGCUCAAAAGUCCUAUGUGCAGUCUAUAGAUGGAUGGCUUUUAAAAUGCGUCUCUUUUCCACAGAAGUCUUCCAAAAAGAAAAGGAGGCAGCACGAAACUCCCUAUAGGAACUAUGGCCCUCCAAUAUAUGUCACCUGUGGUGUCUGGUUGGAAAAGCUUGGCAGCUUACCUGCCAAAGAAGUGGAAGAUUCUAUAAAGACUUUAGCAUCUGAAACUUCCCGUUUUCUACCACGGCAAGAAAAGAAAGAGGGGAAGGAUGCAGGCCAAUCUGAUUUAACAUCCUGGAAGCAUGAGAACGGUAGUGAUUCUGCUGCCAAUAUGUUAAGAGAUGAAGUUUCGCAAGAUGGGGUUUCUGGUUUCGACCAUUUCCAAACAAGCUUGGCGGGAUUUAUCGGUAAGUUGAACAACUUUGCAGAGUCGUCUGUGGAGGCGUAUGUAGACCUUCAGAAGGCGAUCCAGCGUGCGAAGAGCAAUUACGAACAGCUUAAAGCUCAAUCUUCGUCACUUUGAAGGACUGAAUGCAUAGGACUAGGGGAGGAAAUAUACCGAAGUACCAACAAAGGAAAGGGAUUUGGAUACGAGUUCAAUUGGACAUGAUGGCAUUUGUAUAUCAAGAGAAAAAUAAAGGGAAGAAAAUAAGGAAGUUGAAUAAAAUUUGGUAUUUGAGUUUGGGUGUACUUAUAAAUUUAUAAAUUUGGGGGUGGGGGUGGCUCUUGUAACAUACAGAAUCUUGUCUAGUAUUUUUCUUGUAGCAAGUCCGAGAAAGCUUCAUCCUUCUUUCUACCAUGAUCUUUAAUGAUUCUUAUUUAUUUUUUGUUUUUGUUUU